rnacentral:rRNA from 1 species
GACGAGGGGUCCAAGCGUUGUUCGGAAUUAUUGGGCGUAAAGCGGGUGUAGGUGGAUCUAUAAGUCAGGAGUGAAAGCCCCGAGCUCAACUUGGGAAGUGCUUUUGAUACUGUAGAUCUUGAGUGUGGGAGAGGAUCGUGGAAUUCCAGGUGUAGUGGUGAAAUACGUAGAUAUCUGGAGGAACACCGGUGGCGAAGGCGGCGAUCUGGCCCAACACUGACACUGAGACCCGAAAGCGUGGGGAUCAAACAGGAUUAGAUACCCUGGUAGUCCACGCCGUAAACGAUGGACACUUGUUGUUGGAGGUAUUGACCCCUUCAGUGACGAAGCUAACGCGUUAAGUGUCCCGCCUGGGGAGUACGGCCGCAAGGUUA